rnacentral:lncRNA from 1 species
UGUUGGUGGAAAAAUGGACCACCCCACAAAUGCAAUUAUAGCACCCAAAUCCGUCAGCAAGCUCGAGCUCAUCCAAGUGAUCGGGCUCUUCCGCUCUCGAGCUCAUCCAAGUGCUCGGGCUCUUCCGCUCUCGAGCUCAUCCAAGUGAUUGGGCUCUUCCGCUCUCGAGCUCAUCCAAGUGAUCGGGCUCUUCCGCUCUCGAGCUCAUCGGCCGAGACCAGAAGGCCAAGACCAGAAGGCCAAGACCAGAAGGCCGAGACCAGAGGGCCGAGACCAGAAGGCCGAGACCAGAAAGCCGAGACCAGAGGCCGAGACCAGAAGGCCGAGACCAGAGAGCCGAGACCAGAAGGCCGAGACCAGAGAGCCGAGACCAGAAAGCCGAGACCAGAAGGCCGAGACCAGAAAGCCGAGACCAGAAGGCCGAGACCAGAGAGCGUCGACCAGAAAGGCAACCCCGCCGAGCCCAUGCCUUAGCCAAAUAUCCAAUCUCCGCCUAACCCUCCAAAGGAUCUGACAACUAGAUACAUGACCCCACUACAAUCCGCCACCAUCCCUAAGUCGUCAAGGCACGAGAUCUCCGCAGGUAUUCGGCACGACCUAUCAUUAAUGCCUGAGACCCCCUCAGGCC